rnacentral:rRNA from 2 species
GAAUCCCGUCUUUGACACGGACUACCAGUGCUGUGUGAUGCGCUCUUCGACGAGUCGAGUUGUUUGGGAAUGCAGCUCAAAAUGGGUGGUAAAUUCCAUCUAAAGCUAAAUAUUGGCGAGAGACCGAUAGCGAACAAGUACCGUGAGGGAAAGAUGAAAAGAACUUUGGAAAGAGAGUUAAACAGUACGUGAAAUUGCUGAAAGGGAAACGCUUGAAGUCAGUCGCGUCGUUCAGAACUCAACCUUACUUUUGUGGGGUGUAUUUUCUGGUUGACGGGUCAGCAUCAAUUUUGACCACUGGAUAAAGUCUUUGGGAAUGUGGCAUCUUCGGAUGUGUUAUAGCCCAUUGUCGCAUACGGUGGUUGGGAUUGAGGAACUCAGCACGCCGCAAGGCCGGGUUUCGACCACGUUCGUGCUUAGGAUGCUGGCAUAAUGGCUUUAAUCGACCCGUCUUGAAACACGGACCAAGGAGUCUAACAUGCCUGCGAGUGUUUGGGUGGUGAAAACUCAUGCGCGCAAUGAAAGUGAUGGUUGAGAUCCCUGUCAUGGGGAGCAUCGACGCCCAGACCAGACCUUUUGCGACGGAUCUGCGGUAGAGCAUGCAUGUUGGGACCCGAAAGAUGGUGAACUAUGCCUGAAUAGGGUGAAGCCAGAGGAAACUCUGGUGGAGGCUCGUAGCGAUUCUGACGUGCAAAUCGAUCGUCAAAUUUGGGUAUAGGGGCGAAAGACUAAUCGAACCAUCUAGUAG